rnacentral:rRNA from 1 species
AUCGCCUCUUGAACAAUUAAAGAUAAGAGGUCCGCCUGCCCUGUGACAUCUGUUUAACGGCCGCGGUAUUUUGACCGUGCAAAGGUAGCGCAAUCACUUGUCUUUUAAAUGAAGACCUGUAUGAAUGGCAUAACGAGGGCUUAACUGUCUCCUUUUUCUAGUCGAUGAAAUUGAUCUUCCCGUGCAGAAGCGGGAAUGACAUCAUAAGACGAGAAGACCCUGUGGAGCUUUAGACAAUAAGAUAGAGCAAGCCAGAUGAUUUUAAUUAAAAAAAUUAAACACGCGCACCCUACUUAAAUGUCUUUGGUUGGGGCGACCGCGGGGAAAAUAAAACCCCCAUGUGGAACGAGAGAACAUCUCUCUAAGAAUAGAACCCCCGUUCUAAACAACAGAAAUUCUGACCAAAAGAUCCGGCUAAAGCCGAUCGACGGACCGAGUUACCCCAGGGAUAACAGCGCAAUCCCCUUUGAGAGCCCCUAUCGACAAGGGGGUUUACGACCUCGAUGUUGGAUCAGGACACCCUAAUGGUGUAGCCGCUAUUAAGGGUUCGUUUGUUCAACGAUUAAAGUCCUACGUGAUCUGAGUUCAGACCGGAGUAAUCCAGGUCAGUUUCU